AUGUGGUUCUGCAGGAUGCUUGGCUUGGGCUUUGUGGUGGUUUGCUUUUUGACAUUAUUGAUGUUUCAUGCUGCAGGCUAGUGGAUUUGGACUAGGUAUACUUGCAGUAUUUCUUCAUGAUGCAUGGCAAUAAGGAUUCAAAAUAAGACCAUUGUAAUAUAGUAGUGGAAACAGGGUCUGCUGACGUUUUUGUUCAGUAGGUUUGACCCUGCUCAACUUGCUUCUGCGACUUGAUUCUGCAACAUGAUACUUGCUCCAGGUUUACAUUGGCCUUCUUCUAUUUAAUGUUGAGUUUUCUCCUGUGUAAGGACUGAUGCAUCUUUGGAUAACAUGUACUAAAAACUCUUAGUCGCAUGAAUUGGUUUCCGUUUGUUAUGCAGGUUGCAUCUGAUCUCGCUUAAGAGCUUGUUGGAGUUGGACGACCUGUUGUUGAGAUUGCAUCUGAAGCUUAUGUCUCAAAAGUUGUUGGUUUUACAGAUACUGUCUUUUUGGAUUUCGACGAGUUUUGGCAAAUACCGGUUCUUGGAGCAGGCCCUUCCAAUCUGGUCAUGAACUGACUGAUGUUGUAUGGGCUGCAGAAUGUUGUGAUUUUGCACAUCUAGGCAUUGGUUUCCAGAAGGUACAAUUUGCAACAUGGUUGAGAUUUGCCUUCUGACUUGAUGUGGUGCAGCAGGGUUCCUGGCAUGGUUCAAUGGAGUGUUUUGCGCUAGUAUUGGCAUCUGGUGCAAGUUAGAAACUAACAAACCAUAAAAUUAUGUUGGCUCAGUUAGGUUAGACUUGAAGUGCACUUAAAUAUUAACUCAAUUAGGUUGGUCUGUCAUUCAUUGUGGGAUUUUGGUACUGCGGUAGGUUAACUUGUUUUGCACUGUUAUGAUUGUUUGAAAGAACCAAAUGCUGCCAUGUAUCUUUUGUUAUGUGAUAUGAAGAAAUGAUUGCAAUGAGUUCGCAUUGGCCUUUAUCAAUGAUUUAAAUCCCUGUGUACAAACUUACAAGGCUAGCCAGCAUGGAAGACCUACUUAGGAUGCCAUAAAUGUCAUGGUACGCGAGCUUUGUCCUAUCAUCCAUUUCACACGGCGGUACUUUGGCAUCUUUAUGAUAAAUACUGGGAGUUUUAACAACAAUCAUCUUCCCAGAAGUGCAAAGGACUUUAAUUCGUUCUCUCUUAAUCCCCGAGACUUCGCCGUCUAUUCAAGUGAUGACAGAAUCCUCCAACCAAACAUGGGUUUCAACUUAGAGCAAUAACAGCGGCAGGGACUGAUGGACUUCCAGCUUUAAUCAAACUCCUGCCGAAUCCAGAGCAAUUUUAGCCCUUGCUGUCCAUGACGAAGGUUCUCCAUCUGUGCUGCAGAGAAGUUGGUUCAAGUCUCUAUUUUCAUCUUUUCAUCACAGCUUUCUGUUGUAAUAAAUUUAUUGCUCAACACUGCAUAAUAGGCUUUUAUGAAACCUUCUGUAAUGAUAUUAAUGUGUUGUUAAACUUUUUUUUUUUGGAAUGAAUUGUUGGGAUGCUGGAAUUUAGAUUCUCGAUGGAGUUUUGAUA